rnacentral:rRNA from 1 species
GACGAACGCUGGCGGCGUGCUUAACACAUGCAAGUCGAGCGAGGCCCCUCCUUCGGGAGGGUGUCCUAGCGGCGAACGGGUGAGUAACACGUGGGCAACCUGCCCUCAGCUCUGGGAUAACUCCGGGAAACCGGGGCUAAUACCGGAUACGACCUCCACGGGCAUCUGCGGAGGUGGAAAGUUUUUCGGCUGAGGAUGGGCCCGCGGCCUAUCAGCUAGUUGGUGGGGUAGUGGCCCACCAAGGCGACGACGGGUAGCCGGCCUGAGAGGGCGACCGGCCACACUGGGACUGAGACACGGCCCAGACUCCUACGGGAGGCAGCAGUGGGGAAUAUUGCGCAAUGGGCGAAAGCCUGACGCAGCGACGCCGCGUGAGGGACGAAGGCCUUCGGGUUGUAAACCUCUUUCAGCAGGGACGAAGCGGAAGUGACGGUACCUGCAGAAGAAGCACCGGCCAACUACGUG